rnacentral:rRNA from 1 species
AGAUGAACCUGGCCGGCGGCCUAAACAUGCCAAGUCGGACCGGACCGGAUGAGAAGCUUGCCUUCUCUGAUUUACGGCGACGGGUGAGUUAACACGGGGAUAACCUACCUAUUAGACUGGGAUAACUCCGGGAACCCGGAGCUAAUACCGGAUAAUAUUGAACCGCAUGGUUCAAAAGUGGAAGACGGUCUUGCUGUCACUUAUAGAUGGAUCCGCGCUGCAUUAGCUAGUUGGUAAGGUAACGGCUUACCAAGGCAACGAUGCAUAGCCGACCUGAGAGGGUGAUCGGCCACACUGGAACUGAGACACGGUCCAGACUCCUACGGGAGGCAGCAGUAGGGAAUCUUCCGCAAUGGGCGAAAGCCUGACGGAGCAACGCCGCGUGAGUGAUGAAGGUCUUCGGAUCGUAAAACUCUGUUAUUAGGGAAGAACAUAUGUGUAAGUAACUGUGCACAUCUUGACGGUACCUAAUCAGAAAGCCACGGCUAACUACGUGCCAGCAGCCGCGGUAAUACGUAGGUGGCAAGCGUUAUCCGGAAUUAUUGGGCGUAAAGCGCGCGUAGGCGGUUUUUUAAGUCUGAUGUGAAAGCCCACGGCUCAACCGUGGAGGGUCAUUGGAAACUGGAAAACUUGAGUGCAGAAGAGGAAAGUGGAAUUCCAUGUGUAGCGGUGAAAUGCGCAGAGAUAUGGAGGAACACCAGUGGCGAAGGCGACUUUCUGGUCUGUAACUGACGCUGAUGUGCGAAAGCGUGGGGAUCAAACAGGAUUAGAUACCCUGGUAGUCCACGCCGUAAACGAUGAGUGCUAAGUGUUAGGGGGUUUCCGCCCCUUAGUGCUGCAGCUAACGCAUUAAGCACUCCGCCCUGGGGAGUACGGCCGCAAGGUG